GAUUGGGUUUCCAUUGUCGGUAAAUGGAGCUGAGCUGUAAACUCAGUGAUUGCGAUCUUCGGGGGUUCGACUCCCUUCCCACUCA
rnacentral:tRNA from 1 species